AUACGUAGGGUGCGAGCGUCGUCCGGAAUUACUGGGCGUAAAGAGCUCGUAGGUGGUUUGUCGCGUCGUCUGUGAAAUUCCGGGGCUUAACUCCGGGCGUGCAGGCGAUACGGGCAUAACUUGAGUACUGUAGGGGAGACUGGAAUUCCUGGUGUAGCGGUGAAAUGCGCAGAUAUCAGGAGGAACACCGGUGGCGAAGGCGGGUCUCUGGGCAGUAACGGACGCUGAGGAGCGAAAGCAUGGGUAGCGAACAGGAUUAGAUACCCUGGUAGUCCAUGCCGUAAACGGUGGGCGCUAGGUGUAGGGGUCUUCCACGACUUCUGUGCCGUAGCUAACGCAUUAAGCGCCCCGCCUGGGGAGUACGGCCGCAAGGCUAAAACUCAAAUGAAUUGACGGGG
rnacentral:rRNA from 1 species